GUCAAUGUAGCUCAGUGGUAGAGCACUUGCCUGGCAUUCAUGAAUUCCUGGGUCCAAUCUCCAGUACUGUUA
rnacentral:tRNA from 1 species